UACCGAGUCCCACAUGAGAAAUCUGAAUAACGGUCCACGGGGACUCGAGUUUUGUCAAAAUUAGGAUGUAGGACAUCAUCUUCAUCUGCAAUCUCUCUACUCGUCAUAGUACACCCUGAUCCUUUUUCUUUCUCUCUUCAAUCGCUUGAUCUAAUGAAGAAAAACAAAGAAACUAUUCAGUAAAUGAGAAAUAGAUCUUCAAAAAAAAGAAAAUCCAAUGCAAGAAGUUACACUCAAAGCAACUAGUAAACCUGUUAAAUAUGUUUGCAAGAGGAAACGUGAAAACUUAGGGAAUGAAAAUGAAAUUUCUGCCUGAAGGAGAAGUAGGGAAAGAAACUGUGAACCCUAUUGAAAGACCGGUGCUAGAAAAACUGACACCCGAUUUAUCUGCUCACAGGAGGAAAAUAGAUGUAUUUCUAGCAGAUUCUGGUGUUCCUUUUGUCCCAGCUGAACCUCCUGUAGAUUGGGAUACAAUCUCUAUUGAGGUACAGGACACUGUACCUAACAAUAAGCGACUCCGUCAUGACGCAAAUUCUGGUAAUCUGAGCACAUUCCAAGUAUCUCUAUGUUUAUGUAUAAUCAUUUUGUUCGUUUAUAAUGGUCCAGCUGCGGAAUUCGUUGGUCGUAUUGGGUUUAGGAGUCUGAUUAUAUAUCUGUUUUAGUUACACAGUUAACAUGUAUCUGGUGUCAUAGGUGGGGGUUUAGGAAUCAAACUAUUCAUAUGUUGUGGUUGUGAAUCAAAUUAAUAUGUGCUAGCUCAUGUGAAUAUUUCUAAUAUGGGCAUUGUACAUUUCUUAAAGCUAAUAUUUUCAACAUUGUGGAAUGCACUUAUUAAUUUGAUAUCCAAUUGUAAUUUGUGACAGUAAAUAGUAAAAUGAUUCUACAGUCAGUUUGUUAUUUAUUGUUAUAGAUAGUGAUCAUGAUAACGGGGGUCUCCAACAACCAUUUCUUCGGAAUAAUCAGAUGAAUGAAGGUGAUGAUUCCUCGCAAGAUGAUAACAAGGAGAAAGGAGCAGUCAGGAGCGAACAUAUGGAGGCCUCUAUGGUCAAAAAUAUGGAUACACGUGGAAAAAAGUUGAUUUGACACGGUGCUUUGUGAGCGAUCAGGUUUUUGACUCACGUGAUGCCCUUAUCGAGUGGUGUCAGGAGGUUGGAAGAAAAAAUAUGUCUGUGGUUGUGAUAUCCAAGUCAAGAAAACCCGUUCAAGGAAGGGUUGCAAGGUUGGAAUUAGGGUGUGAAAGAGGUGGUGUGUACCGAAACCAUAAGAAGAAAACAGAUACACCAACACUGAAAGACCUUACAAAAAAGAGAGAAUCAGGGACGAGAAAAUGUGGAUGUCCCUUUACACUAAAAGGAGUGUGGAUGGCAGGUGAUAAAUGGAAGGUUAGGGUGCAUUGUGGAUCACACAAUCAUGAGCUACCAGAGAAGCUUGUUGGCCACUCCUAUGUAGCUAGGUUAAAGAAGAAGGAAAAACAAAUAUUAGUUGAUCUGACAAAAAGUGGUGCUCGACCUCGACAAGUGCUUAGCACACUCAAACAGAGAAGCAAAAAGAACAUGUCAAUGAGGGAAAUUUACAAUGCAAGGGCAACAUUAAAACUUAUGGAGAUUGAAGGUAAGUCAGCAAUGCAACAAAUACUUGGAUUGCUGUCGAAACACCAUUAUGUGGAAUGUCAUAGAAGAGAUAAAGAGACAGAUGCGCUGAAAGAUAUCUUUUGGGCCCAUCCAGAAUCUUUACAACUGGCCUUGGGUUCCCAUUCGGUCCUCAUGGUUGAUUGCACUUACAAGACCAACCGAUUUGGUUCACUUUUGCUUCGGGUUGUUGGUGUUACUUCUACAGGAAAAUUGUUCACUGUCGCAUUUAUUUUCCUGGAGGCGGAGACAGAAGAUCACUAUACUUGGGCUUUGACUCGUUUAAAGAGACUAUUUUCGCCCAAUACGUUACCAUCUAUAUUUGUAACAGAUGGAGAGAUCGCGUUAGUGAAUGCAAUAAGCACAGUCUUUCCACAAGCAGAGUGUCUGCUUUGCUCAUCGCACGGCUUAAAGAAUGUUUCAAAGAAUUGCAAGCAAUUCUUUGAGUCCGAUGACGAAUUUGAAAUAUUUAUGAAAGAGUGGACAAAUUUAACACAAGUAAGGACCAAAGACGAGUACGCCGAGGCUUUUUCUGACUUUGUAUUGACAUGGACAAGCUACCUUGGAUGCAUCCAGUAUUUACGUGAUACUUGGCUACGAUAUAAAGAGCGUUUUGUUCUAGCAUGGACAAAGUUCAUAAAGCAUUUUGGAAACACGGUAAUAAAUAGAGUUGGCAGUUAUCAUGCUAAAUUGAAGAGUCAGCUAGGGUCGUCAGCAAGUACCUUCUCGACUUGUUGGACGACAAUGCAUCAGAUGAUAUGCAAUGAGCUAAUGGACAUUAAAGCCUCAUUCGAGAAGAGCCUGAUCUCCGUUCCACAUGAAUAUCUGCUUCCUGCUUUUAAGGAAUUGGGGGGUUAUGUUUCUCACAGGGCAAUGUAACUUUUACUGUUGGAGCAUAAUCGAUCUGAAGAAGUUGGCCUUGAUGUAGGAGUUUGUGGGUGUGUUCUUCGCCUCUCUUAUGGGCUCCCUUGUGCCCACGAGAUAGUACAGUAUUGUCGUAAUGGUACUGGGAUACCUCUUUCUGAGAUCGACCCACAGUGGAAACUACUUUCAGCGAUACCAGUGCCAGAAGAGCAUAGUGAGUUCGAUUACCUGCCACAGCUGAUAUUAGCGAGGGAGAGGUGGGAAAAAGCAUCCAAAUCUGAGCGUGAAUUCAUGCAGAAGAAGUUAUCGGAAAUUGGGUGCUUCUAGAGUCAUCUGUUUGUGUCAAAUUUUGAAUGAGCUGGUGAGCUCUUUCUUUGGGAACUGAUAUGUCAGGUAGUUCAACUGCUUGAGUUGGUUUUAUCAGAAGAUGUUAGAGAUUCUGGUGAAGGACCAGAUCCUGUAGUUUACAUCUUGACAACUCAGAUGAACAAAACCAAGCUAAAUGAAAUGAUAUGUCAGGUAGUUCAACUGCUUGAGUUGGUUUUAUCAGAAGAUGUUAGAGAUUCUGGUGAAGGACCAGAUCCUGUAGUUUACAUCUUGACAACUCAGAUGAACAAAACCAAGCUAAAUGAAAUGAUUCGGAUACAUGUUCGGGCAGCAAAACUGUUAGUUUAUCUGAUAAUAUUCGACUUGGUCCCUCUUUCAGAAUGUCUUGCCUUGGAUUAACUAACAGCACAUCAUUCUGUUUUUCUCUGUGCAAUGUAUCUAUUUAAACAAAUGAAUGGCACCUCGGCUCUCAGUAGAAAAGUACAUGUAUAGAUAGUGUUUGGAGAACUGGUCUGUUUUUUUUUGCACCCCUCGAGUGAUUGUUGUUGAGUUCUCCUUUCUUGUUAAUUGAUUGUGUAUGUGAAGUCUCGACGAAUUAACUAAUUACAACGGUAUACACCGUGCAUGCAUCCUA